rnacentral:misc_RNA from 1 species
AAAAGGAUGGUGCUGCAUGGAUUUGGUAUUUUCAAUAAACAAUGUUCUCGAGAACUUGACAAAAAAUUAUCAAUAUAAUUAGCGCGCAGCAAAUUAAUCAAAGAUUAUAAAAUAAGCACAGAAAAUACUGUAAACACAAAUUGAAACAUGACACAAAAUAUCAGUAAUAAAAAAACGAUGCACCUAUUGAAAGAACUAGAUUCUUCUAAAUCGGCUGAAGCUUUAUGUUUCUAUUGUUUAUCAACAGGACGAACUUUGAUUUGUCUCUCCUCUUGUAAACACAUAACUUUUCUUGAAAAGCUUUUUAAAAAUAAGCUGAACUUAAGAAGCAUGCUACUGUGUACAGAAUGUCAUCAUUUACUGAAGAAGACAGAUCUGUUCUUGAAGAGAGUGGAACAGUGUUGCUCCAUUCUCCAAGGAAAGACAUCUCAGUUCAAGAAGGUAUUAAAUUACACUUACAGCACCCUCCUGCUAUUUUCGACCUUAAACAACGAACUAUGUGAAGUCAAAAUUGAGCCUGAAGAUGUUGAAGUUAAAGAAGUUGUUGCAGAAAAUACGCCAGAAGUGAACGAUUUCUACAAUGAAACAGCGGAAUUUCCUGAGUUACAGGCACAGGGAUGUGAAGAGAUGAAAGAGGAUGGCUGGAACCUUGAGCUUGUCGGCGGACGUGAAGAGAUGAAAAAGGAUGGCUGGAUCCUUGAGCUUGUCGGCGGGAUCAGAUUGAUGGUGAUAGAGUUAUCUGACGCCGAGCUAGGGGCUGAGAGGGAGAGGGCCAUCCGCGACCCUAGAUACACAAAGAAGUCGUACAAAUGUCAGAAAUGUAUAAUCUCUUACGACCACGCCAUUAACUUGGACAGGCAUUUGACACUCAGCCAUAAUGAGAAUAACGCACACGUGUGCGACGUAUGCGAAUGUACUUACGACACAGAAUCGAAAGUCAGAACUCACACGAAGAGACAUUAUUUGAGGUACAAGUGUAUGGAAUGCGAUAAGUUGUACCAGGACAAACAAACAGCCGUUGUGCACUACAAAGAAGCACAUACGGUCAAUCGGAAGAUAUACAGAUGCGAUCUGUCGCACUGUCGCUUCGAGACUGCCUCUCACAGAAGCUACAAAUAUCAUCAAGCGAAACACAAUCAAGUUAAAUGCUCUUUAUGCGACGGAAUGUACUUGCAGGGGACCCAAUUGAGGAUGCAUAUCAACACCGUCCACAAAAACGCAUCGCAAUUCAAGUGCGAGUCGUGCGAUAAGGUCUACAAGCACCGGGCAGGGUUGCGCGCGCACGUGAGGUCGGCGCACGAAGCGAACAACGAGACGUCUCAUUACUGCAGCCCUUGUCGCAAAUUCUUCAGCACCGCUUCCACGCUGGCCCAACAUCUGAUCGAACAUUCGAAGCAUGUCGGCAAAAAGUUUGUCUUGACGAUAAAUCACCAGUUGCGAACUUGUACGUUUGCGAUGAUUGCUCAAAGAGAUACUCCACGAAGCGCUUCCUGAGACAACACAUAGAAACGGCACAUUUGAAGCUCAAACCCGAUUACAAGUGCACGAUUUGUGAUAAGAUCUUCAAUACGUCGUUCACGCUCAGAAGACACGUGGAGUUUAAACACGAGAAAAAAAAGUUGCCUCGCGAUAAAAUCUGCGAACAUUGCGGACGCGGGUUCAUG